rnacentral:lncRNA from 1 species
GCCCAGCCGCCUGCCACGAUGAGCACCGCGCAGUCGGCCUGCACCUCGGUGACACAGAAAAAACACACAGGGUUGCGGGAGGGGACAUCGGACUGACUUUGGGAGGUUCCGAAUCCCAUUGUAAAGCUGGGGAACGCCUUCCAGAACUCAGAUGGCCAAAUGGGAUUCAUGGACCGCCCUGACUGCAGUGCAUGGGGGUCCUGCUUCCCAGUUCCUCUCAUUUAAUCUCAUCUAAUUCAGUUUUUAGUCCCUUCUUUCUGGACCAACUGAUGUACUAGUCUGAAUGUAAGAAAACCUGGUCCCUGUAGGCCCCCCCCAGGGCAACAGGAUCUGAGCUUCAUGAGAGUGAUGGGACUUUCAGUCCUGUCCUCUCUAAUUCUUUCAGGAUUGAUGGAUGAUGGCCAUGGGUGAGGAAAACGCUUACAAGCCUUAUGAUACCUUCCUUCUCCAAGCUUCAGAAAUAAAUCUUGAAAUUCCCCCUCUAUAGGAAUGUUUCUGAAGGCAUGGACUGCUUUACCUGGGAAGUGCCGGUGAUCAUGGUCAUGAUGAAGUCUCUGUGGCCUGGAGCAUCGAUGAUAAUGCUGUAAUCCUUUUCCUUCCCUUCUCCACAUGUCCAGAAGUUUGGUCCCCAUAAAAUUACAGUGGGCUGGGGACAGUUGCUCACGCCUGUAAUCUCAGCACUUUGGGAGCCUGAAGCAGGAGGAUCACUUGAACUUAGGAAAAGAAGGCCUGCCUGGGCAAUAUGAGUUAACCCAUCUCUACAAAAAAUUAAGAACAGAGAAAAGAAAAA